GCGGGAAUAGCUCAGUUGGUAGAGCGUAGCCUUUCCAAGGUUGAGGUCGCAGUUUCGAAUCCUGCUUCCCGCUCCA
rnacentral:tRNA from 1 species